GUUCGGGGGUAGUUCAAUUGGCGGAACGCCUGACUCUGGAUCAGGAGGUUGGAGGUUCGAGUCCUCCCCCGAGCU
rnacentral:tRNA from 1 species